GUAGCAGCUGAGCCCACUGGAAUCUUCAUGGCUGGUGCUUCCCGGGAGGCUCCCGAAGCUCAACAGUGUGAAAGAGUGGCUAGCUAACAAAGGUCGUGUUCCCAUGCAGCAAUUAGCUGAGAAAGAAUUAAACAACAGUGGAGUGUAGUUGGUAUGAGAUGUUGCAAUGUCAGAAAGACCUUACUGAUAACUGUGAACUGAGAACAGGACACUGUGAUCAGAAGAAUGUGGAUUCAGCACAGAUGAAUGACCACAAGAAAGUGGAACUAGGGAGUUUGGAGUUGCCAAUAAAUGAGACUUGCUGAUCAUUCAUAUUGAGUGCUGCUUGUCUCCCGCCGAACUCAUCAAAUGGCGCCCGAACAAAUGGGACCCUUGGGACCUUUGGGACCUUUGGGACAUUAAAAAGCGAAGGCCACGGGAGUCGGUGACAGGGGACGGGUCCUCCGCAGCAAGGACGGCGAAAAGCAACGGUGCCGCGCCCCAGGCGACCUCAGAGGAGAGUCCUGGCCGUAACGUGCUGCCGAACCUUGUAGGGCUGCAACAGCGCUGACGGUAAGAUGGAAAGGCAAGCAGCACAUGAUUUAUUUACCUGCUUUUUAGAAAAGCCACAGCUUAAGGGUUUUGAUUUGCGCAAGGAGCUCCCUGGACUUCUUGCUUAUGGGUAUGCUUACACCUUUACCUCCCACUGCUGGGCAAACACUCCUAUCUAUGCUGCCCAUGGAAAGAGGGAGGGAGAGU